rnacentral:rRNA from 1 species
CGCGUUAAGCACUCCGCCUGGGGACUACGGUCGCAAGACUAAAACUCAAAGGAAUUGACGGGGACCCGCACAAGCGGUGGAGCAUGUGGUUUAAUUCGAUGCAACGCGAAAAACCUUACCACUCCUUGACAUGAAGAUUAGAUCCUCCUUAACAGGAGGGCGCAGUUUCGGCUGGGUCUUGCACAGGUGCUGCAUGGCUGUCGUCAGCUCGUGUCGUGAGAUGUUGGGUUAAGUCCCGCAACGAGCGUAACCCUCAUCCUUAGUUGCCAGCGGGUAAUGCCGGGGACUUUAAGGGAACUGCCAGUGGUAAGCUGGAGGAAGGUGGGGAUGAUGUCAAGUCAGCAUGGCCCUUAUGGGGUGGGCUACACACGUGCUACAAUGGUGACUACAA